rnacentral:rRNA from 1 species
UACGAAGGGGGCUAGCGUUGCUCGGAAUCACUGGGCGUAAAGCGCACGUAGGCGGCUUUUUAAGUCAGGGGUGAAAUCCUGGAGCUCAACUCCAGAACUGCCUUUGAUACUGAGAAGCUUGAGUCCGGGAGAGGUGAGUGGAACUGCGAGUGUAGAGGUGAAAUUCGUAGAUAUUCGCAAGAACACCAGUGGCGAAGGCGGCUC